UAAAACUCCAAGCAGGCCGGCCUCAUCCUGUUUCUUAACGGUAACCUCUCCCAAUCUUAAAUUACUAAUUAAUUUAGCUGUUUUCUUACAAUUCAGAUGGAAAAUAGGAUCUGUGGAGUUUUGGAACUUUGAAUUUUAUUUGCAUCGCGUAAUAGACUUGAUUCCAGACAGGGUAAUGGUCGGUCUCUUAUUAGGUAUUGAAAAUUAUUUGUAUCAUGUAAUAGAUUUGAUUACAGACAGGGCAAUGGUCGGUCUCUUAUUAGGUUUUGAAAAAUUUUAUAUUUUUAUGUACCUUAAAAUUUAGAUUUUAAGUUUUCUAUUCAAUUUUCCAGCCCCAUUUCAUAUUGGCAUGUUGCAGUCAGUCUCUUCCUUAUAUUAGGAUGAUGACUCGAAAGAGAAAGGAACGUUUGAACUCUGUUUAGAAAUAAAUAUACAGGUUAAUCCCAACCCUCAUCUGAACUAUGGAUUUGACUGAAGAUUAUAAGGUAUGACAUUGAUUGGUAUUUUAUUCAUUUUUAAGGUAUUUUGUUCAUUUUUAAAAUGUUUAACUUUAUUUGUUAUAACUUGAUUAAUCUUCUGCUUCGUUGUUUGGUAGCCCUGGAUGAGCAAAAGCAAUGUCACAAAUCAUCAAGAAAAAAGAUGAUAAGAAGUAUUUCCUGAAGAAAUCUUUUUCAACAUAGUUUCAAGGCUGCCCCCAAAAUUCGUAGGGCAUUUUACCACCAUCAAAAAAUCACGGUAUGCUUUUAUUACAUCUCCAGUCUUUAUUUCCAUUGAUUUGAAAUAAGGCCUGACCUCAGAAUUUUGAGUCCUAGACUACUAAUUAUAGUUAAUUCAUUCAAUCUCUUUUGUGACAUGAUUGAUUGAAGAUAAGAUUUAAUCAAUCUAAGUUUUGAAAAACUUCUUUCGACCGUGACAACGAUGACAUGAAUAGCCAGUAAUACUUUAUAAGCAAUCCAAGCAUUUGCAAAACAACAAUUCAUUAUCAAUGUAAUCUAAAACAUCAAUUGCUCCGUUAGUUUUAGUAGGUAUCACUUCUCUUUUGACUUUCAACUUAGAAAAUGAUUUUAUUUCAUUAAUGUUAGAAAUCAUGUUAUGCUUCAAGUCAUUUUCAAGGUUAAUGCAAGAACACUUCAAACUAGUAAAAUAGAUACAUUUAGGUUUUUUUUUUUUUCAAAUCAAAUAAAAAUUCAAAAAUAUCAUCAUAUUUUGGAAAUUGUUCAAAUCUAUUUUGAAGUGUUGAUAGAGCUUUUGCUUUUGAUCUAUUGUAUACAUGAAAUAAUUGACCCUGAAAGAUUCUUCAACUAUUUAUGUCAUUUCUUCACAAGAAGUUCAUAAAAUUGCUUCUUUAUGUGUACAACUCGUUUUUCACAAAAUAUCGGUUCAAUUUAUAUUUCACUUGCAAUUUCUUUUGCAUCAAUAUUGGCCAAUUCAAGCCUAUCUUUUAAAAACUGAAAUGAGCAAUUAUAAAUGGUCUAUAACAACAUCAAUAUGCAUGUCUUCUGUUUGCAAGUGUUUGCUUUACCUUGUUAACAUUAUUCAACACUUCAUACCAAAUAACCAUCCCAAAGAAGAAUUAAAAAUUCUCAAUUUCAUAUGUUGUCGCACAUUCUACCUCACUUCUUGUUUUAGGAUCAUAAAUACUUGUCAAUUGAUAUAGAGCAUUUUACAUUUAAAUGGCAUUUGUGAUAAGGGUUAAGUUGUAACGACCUGUCUUGUAUGCCGAAACCGUUAUAUCAUACGUACUGUCCGCUUUAAAUGAACAUUUGUCCACUUGACCCCUCACGGUUUUCUAUCGCGUCAUCGAGGAUUCAAAUCCAAAAUCUCUGUCUAAUGAUUUAAGUUGAAUCUUAGUACCAACUAGACAAGGCAACUUAAAAUGCAAGUUCAAGGCGAUCAGAAGUGAAUUGUGGUUGCGUGGGUGAAAAAGGAAGAAUAAAUUAUGUAGUUAAGGAUUUUAAUAAUGUUCAUUGUAUUUUUCUUAAAACUAAUUUUAAAUUCUCUCAUGUGAAGAAAAAAUUAUGUUUUUCUUUUGUUUAUGAAUUAUUCUUUUACUAUACAUGUAUAAUGAUUCCAAAAGUAAAAAUUUGGGGUGUUACAUAAGUCAUUUACAUUAUCUUUGAAAAAUUUUCAUCGUUUAGUAGAUGAUGAAAAUAAAGCGCAUGUAUGUUGCACCAUUUCGAAGAAAGAUGUAGCUUUUGAACAAUAAGUUGUCAUAUCAUAAAGUGUAAGACAAGACUAUGGUGCCAACAAGAGUGUAAAAUGCUCUAGGCUUUACUUGUAGUCUAUUUUGCAAUCCUUUAUGUUUUUCUUUCAUGUUAGCGACGUUAACAUAGCCUUGACCUCUAAUAUCAUUAGUAUCAAGUUCUAAAUUAUUUAAAGCAUCCACAAGUUUAUCAAAUUGUUUCUUCCCAACUAUAUCAUCUACUAAUAAAAAUCCUUUAAAAAAUUCUUUUGCAUUCAUUGGACUUGCUAAAAUACCUACACACCUCAAUAGUACAUUUGUUCUUCAUGACUUGGAUAUGGAGUGCAAUCAAGUAUACCAAAAAAAGUACUUGAUUAAGAUUUUUGGAGUUUCUCAAUAAUUAUUUUCUUAAUUCACUCGCUAACAUACUUAUCAUCUCAUUGUAUUUUAUGCCCAAGAUGAUGAUAAUAAGUCCUCUUUUUUUGAAUUCAGUGAAUUUUCUCUUUGAAUAUAGAAUUAUAGUGUCAUACUCACCAAUAAUUUGAAUUAAGCUUAAGAUGUCACUAUUUCUUGGUAUAUCUUCUCAUUAUCUCCAUGACGUGCUGAAUAUUUUAUCAUAACUUUUGAAUAUAUGAACCACUUUCUGUUGUACUUCUCUCCAUUAAUCAUCAAACGUAAUCUGCUAAGCAAAAGUGUCGCUUCGCUACAUCUUUCAGAAAAAUCACAUUAUUCUCUUAUAGGACCUUUUUAACAAUUAAAUUCCUUAAGUUCUAAUUCAUAUUUCCCAAAUUUGCUUGAUCAGUAAGUGGUUCAUUAUCCCUUUUAUUCAUGUUUCUAUCUUUCAUAAUAUCAUCUUCAGCAGAUACUUUUCUAUUCACCAAACAGUGUUAUUCAUCAAUUGGACUAUCUCUUAUAUGUUUCAUUAAACCCUCCUACAGGAACUAUUUUUUCACUAUGCAUUUGUUUACUGCUAAUAAAAAACUUAUCAUGUGCUCCCUCUUGAGAUUUAAUUAAUUGUUCAACCUUUUUAUUCAUUUUUCUUUUGGCAUAUCCGAAUUCAAAUAAUCUAGUAGACAUAAUUAUAAGCAACGAAUAGUAAAACUUGAUUGAUAAGUCUGAAUUAAAAAUAUUGCAAAUUUUGCCGGUGAAGGGAUUUAGCAAUUAGUUUGCAAGAAAUAAUCAAACACCAUUUAAAAUGCGAAUUUAUCGAUCAUUGACCAAUUGAAUAUAUUUAUGUGUCAUGUGAAAACAAUAAUAAAGCAUUUCCUCUUACACAAAAUUGACAUUAUUUAAUAUUUCUUGCAAACUGAAUACGAAAGAUAAAAACAAUGAAAAUGGAGGCGAGAAAUAUAUGUGGUUUGGAAAGGAGACCAACAGAAAAAAACAGAGGCAAUUAGUCACGAUGCAUUGGUCUGUUAUGCUGGAAUCGCUAACAAGAAACUGAGAAAAGAGUUGAGGGAAGAUGUCAUCGAUCUAUAAAAUUUCUAUAUUCAAACUAACCUAGGCAAUUGAAUACUAGAAACGGGUUGGGAGGCUAACUAUAGGAUAGGUCUUUACCUACUAUACUAAUUUAGUAAUUUAGUUUGGAUCUAAGAAGCCUACCAUGUAGUAUAUUUGGGCCCCUUAAAUUUUGAGGCCCUAGACUAUUGUCUAGGUUGCUUUGGCCCAGGGCCAUCAGAGCUAGCAUAAUCUUCUCUUCGAUAGGCUUUACCAAUAGGCUCGACUUUAGGCCAAAGUCACUUAGCAAUGGCCUACGGCCUUAAAAUUUGAGGUGCCUAAAAGAACUAUAUAUUAGACUUAUUCUGUAAGGCCUAGAUUAUACAAAAUUAGUGUAGUUGGUAAAGAAACUGCCUCACAACCCAACCAUCAAUAUUCAAUUGUCCUAUGUUAGUUUGAAUAAGCAAAUUUCAUAUGUCAUCGAUUUUCUCUUGGUCCAUUUCUCAGUUGCUUGCUAUUGAUUCCGACUUUGUCGAUCGACUUGUUUUGGAAUCACAUUGCAUCUGUCGUUAAUUGACCCAUUUUUUUGAUAGUUGAUCCUUAUCUCUUUCUUGUCUCCCUUUCUGUUGUCUUUAUCCUUUAGUAUUCAACAAGAAAAAUUAAAUAUGUCAAUUUUGUUGAUUAAAUGAAAAUAUUAUCUUCCUUUAUGUUGUAUGGGAGCUCAAAAUACUUUAUUAUUGUUUUCAUAUAUAAAUAUAUUCUAAUUGGUCAUUGAUCAAUUAAUUUCUAUUCUAAAUGGUGUUUAAUUAUUUCUUAUUGUUGUUGGAUCGUUUUUGGGGUACUUUUAAUUCGUACUUAUCAACUAGGUUCUAUUACUCUUUGCUUAUAAUUAAUUAUGUUUACUAGAAAAUUUGAAUUUAGAUAUGCCAAAAAAACAAAACAAAAAAAAACAAAGUUGAAUAAUUGAUUAAAUUUCAAGAUGGAGCAAUCGAUAAUUUUUUUAGUAGCAUUGAACAACCACAAAAUAAAGACGUAGUUAAUAAAAGAAAGUUUAAUGAGAAUGAUAUGGAGAUAUGAUGAUUAGAAAAAUACUGGUGAAAGACUUACAACAUAUGAAGAGAGUUGUGACCAAGUCGCUAAUAUGAGUGGAUGAAUCAUAAUGAAAAUACGAUUUGAAAAGAGUGAAAUAGUUGAUUGGUGUGUAGAAACAAAUUAAUAAGAUAAAAAAAAUAUUGAAGAUAAGUAUUAUUGAGAAUCGUAUAUGUGAUGAGAACUCUUGCUGAGAAUAAUUUAACAUUUUGUAGCAAUAAUGAAAAGACAUACCAAGAAAAUAAUAUCUUCUUAAACCUAAUUCAAAUUAUUGGUAAAUUUGAUCUUGUAAUACGAGAAUAUUUUUGAUGAAUGCAAAAUUAAGAGAUUCAUUAUCAUUAUCUUGGGUACAAAAUUCUAAAGGAGUUGAUGUUUAUGCUAGUUGGUGAGAUCAAGGAAAUAAUUAUUGAGAGACAAAGUAUUGAAGUAAUAAUCUAUUAUACUUAAUUGCACUUCAGAUUUGAGUAACGAAGAAUAAAUGCCUAUAGUAUUGAGUAGAUAUUUCAACAAGUCAAGUGAAAGUAUAAUACUUUUUAAGAUAUUUAUUGUUAGAUGAUACAUCUAGGAAUGAACAUUUUGAAGAAUUUGUAUAUGCUUUGAAUAAUCUAGAACUUGAUAUUGAUGAUGUAAGGGGUUAAGGCCGUGAUAACGGUGAUAACAUGAGAAGAAAACAUAAAGGAAUGUAGAGUAUUAUAAUUAAAUUCUAAAGCAUUCUGCAUUCCUUGUGGGUGUCAAUAUUCUUAAUCUUACACUUUAAGAUAUGGUAACCCAUUGUUCAAAGCCUAAAUCUUUCUUGAAGUGGUGCAGUACAAAUAUAAUGUAAAUGGCCUUAUCAUUAAGCCUUUGUCGCAAAUAUGUUGGAAAAGCCAUUAUGAAAGUACUAGUGCAAUAAGAUUCCAAACUACACAAUAGAAAAUGCUCUACUUCAACCGAUAAGUGUUGUUGAUCCUAAGAUAAAAAGUGAGGAGUAUGUUUACUAAUAUAGAAAUUGAGAAUUUUGAAUUCAUACUAGGGAUGGUUAUUUGGUAUGAAAUGUUAAAUAAUGUUGAUGGGGAUAGAAUUAUAUUUUUAGUUGAAUGUUUUAAUGGAAACAAUAAUUACAAAUACUAAUGGCGUAGUUCAUAUGUUAGAUUACAUCAAAAGAAUGAAUUUUUGUUUUGCAAAUGCUUGGUUGCACAUAGAGUAUUAUUGACUAUUUAUGUCAUCAUUGCAUAUGCAUAAAGAAGUUUUUCAAAGUUGAUUAAGUCUUAUUUUCGAUCAACUAUGUAACAAGGAUGAUUGAAUAGAUUAGCUUAGAUUUCUAUAAAAAAUUGACUUGCGUAGUUUGAUUAUUAAUUUUACAUCUAAAAAUGUGAGAAGGCUAAAAAAUUUGAAGAGAUUAGCUUAUAUAUCUAUAAAAAAUGCUAGUCUAUUCCCUUUGGUUGUGAGAGAUAUUAUUUUGCUACUUUAUCUUUCGAAUUGUACAGAGUCUUCAUUAUAUAUAUAUAUAUAUAUAUAUAUAAAAUUAAAAUAUUUAUGUAUUUCUGCAUUUGUAGAAGAAAAAAAAAAUGUUUAGAGGUCUCAUAAUAUUUAGUUGCUUUAGUUCUCAAAAUUCUCAGGCUUGUUUACCAAUAACAAAGAGAAAAUUAUAUAACAGAUUGAGGAUCAAAGAAUUGCAUAUAACUUUGAGAAGUGGCAAAGUGGAUAAUAUUGAGUUUGAUAUUGAAGGUGGCACGAAUUCUUUGAUUAGUUACAAUGGAAGUCUGGUUUUGCUCGACGAGAAAAAUGACUUACACGAAAACUGAUGUUUAGUGGAAUGACAUCUAGAUGAAAUGUAUGUGCACUAUUGAGGAGAAGACAAGUGGCUAAUCAUGUUUUUUCUAGUUGAUAUUCAUCCACUCUCUGUACAUUCUUUUGAUGAACUUUCUGAGAAUGGCUGCUGUCUAGUUAAUGUUUAACUAAGUUCUUGAAAGGAGAAAUAUUCAUGAAUCUUCUCUUAUUAGUCCCCUAGAAGGAUAUUCACUGGAAUAAUUAUUUGUACUAGUGGCAGAAUGUAACAGA
rnacentral:lncRNA from 1 species